AUAAGCCUACGGGGCGCAGCAGUGGGGAAUAUUGCACAAUGGGGGAAACCCUGAUGCAGCGACGCCGCGUGAGUGAAGAAGUAUCUCGGUACGUAAAGCUCUAUCAGCAGGGAAGAAAAAAAGUCUUUGGCUUUGGACGGUACCUGACUAAGAAGCCCCGGCUAACUACGUGCCAGCAGCCGCGGUAAUCCGUAGGGGGCAAGCGUUAUCCGGAUUUACUGGGUGUAAAGGGAGCGUAGACGGCAGCGCAAGUCUGGAGUGAAAUGUCGAGGCUCACCCCCGGAACUGCUUU
rnacentral:rRNA from 1 species